UUAAGAGUAAUAUCAGUUCCACCUUCCAAGCAGUGGACUGAGACACGCACUAGUUAGCGUUUUUUUGCACUCUGAGAAUGAACAAGAGAGAUUGUAGACAGUCCGAGCCACACCUUAUGGGUCGUUUGGUGGAAGGGAAUAUGAGCCAGAGAGACCAUACGGCUGUGUCCCUUGCUGUGCUCGUGCUGACACCUCAUCUUGGCUAGGUUUUUUCGUCCUGAUGGUUGAGUCACUGACAAGUUGGACUCCUGGAUACCUGAUGUUCUCCGGCUGGAGAUGGCGAGCCUGAACCCAGAGCUGAACUGAAUGGAACUCUUGUCUAAAGAUCCUCUUCUUGAAGUUCAUCAGCAAAGUGAGGCCUGGGGAGAGAAGCUCAAUCUGACUGUUACAUCCUGUCAUGCCACUCCUCCACCUGCAGUUCCCUGAUCCUCCACACCUGUCCCUGAUCCUCACACUCCAAUCAAGUCAACCUGUCACACCUGUUUCUACGGAAGCGUGGAGCUGUCACCCAAAUAAAAAAAAAAUUGGACCU